rnacentral:rRNA from 1 species
GACGAACGCUGGCGGCGUGCUUAACACAUGCAAGUCGAACGGAAAGGCCCUGCUUGCAGGGUGCUCGAGUGGCGAACGGGUGAGUAACACGUGGGUGAUCUGCCCCUUACUUUGGGAUAAGCCUGGGAAACUGGGUCUAAUACUGGAUAGGACCAUGCUGUAGGUGGUGUAGUGGAAAGAUUAGUUUCGGUAAGGGAUGAGCUCGCGGCCUAUCAGCUUGUUGGUGGGGUAAUGGCCUACCAAGGCGUCGACGGGUAGCCGGCCUGAGAGGGUGGACGGCCACAUUGGGACUGAGAUACGGCCCAGACUCCUACGGGAGGCAGCAGUGGGGAAUAUUGCACAAUGGGCGCAAGCCUGAUGCAGCGACGCCGCGUGGGGGAUGACGGCCUUCGGGUUGUAAACUCCUUUCAGCCAUGACGAAGCCCUUGUGGUGACGGUAGUGGUAGAAGAAGCACCGGCUAACUACGUG